rnacentral:rRNA from 1 species
GACGAACGCUGGCGGCGUGCUUAACACAUGCAAGUCGAACGGAAAGGCCCUGCUUUUGUGGGGUGCUCGAGUGGCGAACGGGUGAGUAACACGUGAGUAACCUGCCCUUGACUUUGGGAUAACUUCAGGAAACUGGGGCUAAUACCGGAUAGGAGCUCCUGCUGCAUGGUGGGGGUUGGAAAGUUUCGGCGGUUGGGGAUGGACUCGCGGCUUAUCAGCUUGUUGGUGGGGUAGUGGCUUACCAAGGCUUUGACGGGUAGCCGGCCUGAGAGGGUGACCGGCCACAUUGGGACUGAGAGACGGCCCAGACUCCUACGGGAGGAAGCAGUGGGGAAUAUUGCACAAUGGGCGGAAGCCUGAUGCAGCAACGCCGCGUGCGGGAUGACGGCCUUCGGGUUGUAAACCGCUUUCGCCUGUGACGAAGCGUGAGUGACGGUAAUGGGUAAAGAAGCACCGGCUAACUACGUG